GGAGGAGUGGGGAGACCUGGCGAGACCCACCCAGGGCCUGCAGGGCUGGAUAGAGGGACAUCUCUCAUGAGCCUCCAGGGUCAGGAUUGAGACCCUGGGGUACUCACCUGACAGAAGGGGACCAGGGGUCCUUCCAGAAUGUGGGCAGAUGCGCCACUGAAUUUCCUUCUUGCUGAGCGGCCCCCACAGGCUCUUCGGUGGGGGUGGGGGCCAAAGGCCACAGGUGCACUCUGGGAAAUCUGGGAGGGCACAGAGGAGGAAAGGAAGCAGCCCCUCCCCCUCAUUGAGCCCCCACCUGGGAGAGGAUGGAGUGAAGGAGAAGCAGGCUCCCGGGCCUCUGACUGUCCUCACUUUGUUUCCAGCCAGCCCCCUGGUUCUCUGGGCCUCUAUUUAUUUCCUCAUCAGUAAAAGGAGGCCAUAAUCCUUGUCCUGGCUUCCUCUUGGAGUUUCGUAAGAGUUCAAUGAACCCAAGGACGUGAAAGGUGUUAUGCAAAUGAGAGACAUUAUGAGUUAUCUAUUGGGAGGCUUGGAUCCUGAGCUUGGCUCUGUCUCCAGGAAAGAGGCCUCAAGUUUCCUUCUGCAGCAGCGCAGCAUACGGGGUGCACAGUGAUCCACCCAAACGGCAGCUAUGCUGCCGGGGCUGGUGAGACGUGGUCAUUCACAAGGCAGCUCGCUGUGCUGCACAGCAGGUUGCUGCCCGGAGUCGCCAUGAAGGAAUGUGAUGCAGCCUAUUGGAGGAGAACCAAACCCCACCACCACCCCAGAAAGCCAUACCAGCUGCCGACAUGUACAUGGGCUCAUCGGGGGUUUUCCAGGCCCACUGAUGUUCCAGCUGAGCACAGCUGCCGGGUAAGCCCAGGAGAAAUCAGCUAGGAACCCCAGCCCACCCACAGGACCCUAAGAGAGGAUGCGUCAUUGGUCUCUGUUUUGUGCUGGCUGGUUAUAGAGCAUAGGCUAACCGAAGGCAGAGAAGGGAAGGGACUUACCCGAGGUCCCACAGAGAGCAGAGACCAAGCCUGUCUUGGUUAAGUCUGUGACCAGGUUUCCUGGCCCCUGUGCCCUUCCCAUCAGUGUCCUGCCGCCAGCUCUACCAGCGGUGUGUGGAUCUGCAUGUAUGUAGGGAGGUGCGGAUCGGGUGGGCCCUUCCCACUUCCACCUGAGUUAGGAAGGGUUGGCUGACGUCCACACAGGGCUGUCCUGCCCAUCAUUGCAGGCGGGAGGGAUGGUUAAUCCCAUUCUGCAGAGGAUGAAACUGAGGCCAAGAGCUGACAGUCACACAGCUACUAGGUAACAAAGCUCUGACAUCAAAGCUUUUGGUUCUUUGAUGCCAACUCCAGAUCCUUCUAUUGACUCGCCGGAAGGAGAAUGGCAGGUGGUAAAGUUCCCUCCAAGGGUCAGUCACUCAGAAAGGGCCACAUACACAGGCACACACAUAACACACAGGCACACACAUGACACACAGGCACACACACGACACACACAGGCACAAUUACAUGUGUGCUUGCUCACUCUCUUUCUCUCCUUCUCACCCCUCCAUCUUCAACCAGCCUACCCCUAAUGGACCAUGUACUUUAUUAAAAAUAUAUAGUUACGGCUGGGUGCGGUGACUCACACUUGUAAUCCCAGCACUUUG
rnacentral:lncRNA from 10 species